rnacentral:lncRNA from 1 species
AGAAGACCGAGACACAGAGGUUAAGUUCUUGUUCAAGUGCAGAUGAAGACUGAGUUCCAUAGUGGGAGUUUGAGGUCUGUUUGACUCUCCAAAUCUCACUUUUUUAAACAAUGACAGUCCUUCUUUGCUUCUCUUGAACACAUAGUUUUUAUUUCCAGUGUAUGUAUUUUGAAACCUUGUGUGGGUUUUGGAGAUGUGAGAUUCUGAUUUUUUUCAGAUUAUGUAUUUAAUCUUCAUGUUUUUAAAAAUAUCCAUCAACUGCCAGAAUACUUUUUCAGUGCUGCCCUCUGGGGCACGCUGGCUUUGCAGUGAGCCAUGACUAGAGUAUAGCAGAGUGUCUCCAGUAUUUCAACGUAUGCAAUUUCCUUACUGGGUCACAGGACAUUUAGAGUAUGUGAGAUUUCAAGGCAUCCAUAUAUAUAUCAGCAUAAAUCACCCUUAAAUCUCUACUCUGAGUAGAGCCGUGUCAGCUCAGUCUUAAUUCUUUUCCUAGUUUCUGGGCUGAGUAGUUAAACUUUGAUAUUUCAUUGUCAGGAAAUUGGUGGGUUCCUUAGUGGGGGAAAUAAUAAUUUGUGUGAUUUAUCAGUGCCAGAGAAGCAGCAAUAAGGAAGGGCUAACAAAAAUGGAGAGUCAGUGCCGUGUUAGAUAACAUGCUUAUGCCUGUAUUUAAUCACCUCUACUAGCCUAUGAGACAAACACUAUUAUUUCAAUUUUUACAAAUGAGAAACCUGAGACUCAGAUUUGCUGAGGUUGCCCAGUAGGUAGGUAAUUCUGGAAUUUAAACUGAAGCUAGUCAGAUUCCACAGUCCGAUGCCUUUCAAUGACAUGAAGCUUGAAUAAUUGAAGUGAAUUGUUCUCUUUAAACCAAUUUCCGUGUGUCUUUUGAAUUCUGUGGUCAAUAAAAUCUAUUUUAUGAAUUGCAAUUGGUGUACAAAUAAUAGAGAAAAAAUAUCAAAGUUCACUCCAUAGAGAAAGGACAAGUGUUGAUGUGUGAAAGUUUGGUUUCAGUUCCAUAUUUAACCAUGUAUUGCAUUGUGCCUAAGAGAGUGUGUCCUGGCUGGCCUUGGGGGGAUGCAUUUUAUCAUAGCUUGUGGUCAAGAGUCCUCAAACCCCCUUCUCUGUCUUGUGCUCAGGUUCAGACACUAGAUAUCCUGUAGCCUUCUCUGGUUCAUAGAUCAGGCUGAUCUCCCCCAUGCCUUUGCAGCCCUGCUCCUGUUCCUGUGCUCUGUGUCCCAGGGAAGGGUGUCAAGGUCCCUCUCAUCAUGACCAUCCUCAACAACAGCCUCUUUCUUACCCAUUGCAUCUAAGCUGCCUUUCAGUACUAAUGAAUUACUUAUGAAAUAAAUCUCAAAACUACUUCCUCCACUCUAUCCCUCCCUCCCUGUUGUUGGAGGGAAGGAUGCUGUUGAAUCCACACCCAUCAUUCUGGGCAAUGAGGCACCUGCAAUCCCUUUUGCCUUUUUCUGUCCCACCUGCCUUUGGCUUCUGUUCACUCCUUGACUGUCUGUGUGGUGUUGAGGAAGUAACCCAUUCUUCCUCUCACCUAAUGUACCGAGCAGACGGUGAAUCUGAGCACAUUAACACCUCGUAUGAGAAAGAUCGCACUGUGCCACAUAGAGCCAACAUUUGACGUUGUCUUAAGUUUAUUUUUCACCAACCUUUGAUUAGAAAAUACCAUCUCCUUGUGGUUUUAGUUAGCACCUUUUCAUUCCCUAAAGCAGUUGGACAUUUUUAUGUUUAUAGAUCAC